AUGACUCAGCGACACUUCGUGAUGAAAUUGAGCGUUUGGUGCAAACAAAGUACAACUUUGUUUCUUGUCAAUACAAUACUGCAAACAAAAUUCUCAAUAUUCUGUACACGAACACAAGUGACAACAACUUUGGGUUAGUGGUUCUCAAACAGUCGCUGAAUAUAAAAUGCGCUACAUGACUAUUGAUUCAAAUCAUUUUUGAUUUAAACACCAAAGCGACAACAUGUCUGUACCAGCAAAUAAAUUUCAAGUUCCACAGACUGAGAAUUGGGACUUAGAAAUAAGCCAGUCCGAGAUGAAAAAAAAUACCAGCAUCGGGGUGGUAACUCCAAAAACGAAAACCGAAGACUGGGAAGCUGAAAUUGCGGUGGCGAAACGUCCUCCAUUCUUUCUCAGCGUGGGCAAAAUAACACAGCGACGUAUAAACCGAAUGCACCGAUGCUGGACCUGUCACUGCGUGCCUGUCAAUUGUCGAUGUGCAAAAUAUUGAAUAAACUUGUUGAAACGUUAA